UACAGAGGGGGCAAGCGUUGUUCGGAAUUACUGGGCGUAAAGGGCGCGUAGGCGGCCUUCUAAGUCAGACGUGAAAUCCCUCGGCUCGACCGGGGAACUGCGUCUGAGACUGGAAGGCUUGAAUCCGGGAGAGGGAUGUGGAAUUCCAGGUGUAGCGGUGAAAUGCGUAGAUAUCUGGAGGAACACCGGUGGCGAAGGCGGCAUCCUGGACCGGUAUUGACGCUGAGGCGCGAAAGCCAGGGGAGCAAACGGG
rnacentral:rRNA from 1 species